GAGAACCUGGAGAGCACAUUUCCAUUUGCCAGGCCAGUUUGCUCUUCCCAGUGUGGCCUGUGAACAGUGGGGACAUGAAGAAUGGUGCUCCUCCCACACUACCUUACUGACCACUCUGAUGUCUUGGAAACUCUUGGCAGCACCAGGGAAAGGACAGUAGAAGGAUGUAAGUGCUGUCCCACAAUGCUCACAGACCUCUUCUGCCUGGCUGCCUCUUUAGCUCUGCUCCUUUACUCACUUCUGUCCUGCUUCACCACCUGUGCCUGUCUGCAUCUCUAUCUGUGCACAGUCACGUGCUGUGUAAGGAGAGGGAAAGUGUUGAGAAACACAGCACCACAUGAUCUUGUCAUUAUUUGAAUGUCACAGAGUUUAUGGACCAGACUAAGAAGGCUGGGAUGUCGCCAGGUCAUGAGACUCAUGGGACCAUUGAAACAUCUGUGUGCAUACGUUCACAUGUGUGUGCCCCACUAUGUAUGUGUGGGUGUAUACCUAUACAUCUAUGUGUAUGUGUGUGCAUGCACACGUAUACAUUUUAGCAACUCAUAGUGCUGAGUGGCAUGAGGCUGGUGGAAGCUACUUAUUUAAAUAAGUAGUCCAUGAGGCCCUCAGAGCAGGUGACCCCUAAACUGAUACCUGAGUGGGUGAACUAGGUGAAGAUCUGGACAGGGCAUCUUCUGGAUGAAGAGUCUGGCCCCAGACAGGGUGUCACCAGGGUGGCUGAGUGGGGAGGUUGGAAACCAUGGCAGCCAGGAUGGUGCUGGAUGGGCCUUGCACUGGUCAUCUCUGUCACUGGGGCAAAAUACCUGAAAUCAUAAAUUGAAGGAGGAGAGGAUUAUUUUGUCCCACGGUUUCAGAGGGUUCAGUGCAUGGGCAGCUGGCUUCAAGGCAGGAACAUCAAGGCCCAGGGGCCUAGCAGAGGAAAGCUGCUCACCUCAUGGUGGCCAGAGCAGACAGACAGCAAGAGAGAGCUGGAGAGAAGGGACCAGGACAAGAAUCCACCCUUCCAGGUCAUCCUGGAGUGACCUGCCUCCUCCAGCCAGACCCACCUCCUAGUGGCAUAUUCAGCCAUGAACUAGCCAGUGGAUUAAUCCACUGACCCACAGAUGAGUAGCGUGCCUAUGAGCCAACCACCUUCAGAAAAGCCCCGCCUCUGAACAUAGGAGCCUCCUGGGGACAUUGUGGCUCCAAACUGGAAGUAGCUCUCUCACCUCUUCCACCCCGAGAGAGGAGGCCUGGCCUCUGCUCCCCUCUAUGCUGCGGCAACCUUGGCCUGUCCUUGCUCCUUCCCCUCCUCCUGCUUUUCCUGGUGCCUUGCAAGCAGGCAGAGUAUUCUAUUAACUUGUUCUUAAAUGUCUCCCUAAGGUAUAAGGUACAUACAGAAAGGGUACAAGGAUGUAUGCAAGAUAGUGUUGGUGAUCCUGAGGAGAUGGCCCAGUCAGGGCCCAGCAGCCCCUUCUCCCUAGCAUAUCCACCUCCUUGGGGACUCAAGUGGUCCUCUUUUGAUUUAUGUGGGUUGGAGUCCCAGCACAAACUGCCUUUCCGCAGCAUUCUGUGCCAAUUGAUGGGAGACUCACUGAGCCCUCCUGUGUGAUAGUUAGUCUCGUGGGGGCAAGGCCUUCUGGGAGGGAACAUGCCACAGCCUAAUAAUUUAUUCUCCUAUUAAUGGGCACUUGGACAGCUUCCAGCUGUGAGAUGUUGUAAGUCAGCGGCUGCGACUGCUUUAGGACGUGCAAUUUGGAGAACAUAUGCAUGUAUUUGUGCUGUACUUAUGCCCAGGAGUGGAAUUGCUCAUAGUAGAUUGAGGGAAUGUGAAGACCCCCUAAGCUAAGUGGUUUUCCAUGUUGAUUAGUUUAAAAAUCAUAUUUAUUCUUAUAGUAAUAGAAGUAAUGUUUAUUUAUUGUUGGGAAUUUGGAAGACAGAGUAAAAUAAAACAAAACCACAUAUUAGUCUUUAGUUUUGUAACUGUAGAAUUGGGAUUAUGCUACACAGAACCUUCGAUUUGCUAUGUUCACUUUAUGUUGUAGUAUUCCUAGUAUUAUUAAAUGCUUUUUUCCAUUGACAGCAUUUGGGUGUAUCAAAAUAAAUG
ensembl:lncRNA